UAUGUGAUCGUCUCUCGCAUAUCAAUAAGCGGAGGAAAAGAAACUAACAAGGAUUCCCCUAGUAACGGCGAGUGAAGCGGGAAGAGCUCAAAUUUGAAAUCUUAAAGGGUUUCCCUUUACGAAUUGUAGUUUAAAGAAGUGUUUUCUGUUGAGGUUUUGGUAAAAGUUCUUUGGAAUAGGACAUCAUAGAGGGUGAGAAUCCCGUAUUUGACCUUUACUUUCAACUUUGUGAUACACUUUCAAAGAGUCGGAUUGUUUGGGAAUGCAGUCCAAAAUGGGUGGUAAAUUUCAUCUAAAGCUAAAUAUUGGCGAGAGACCGAUAGCGAACAAGUACCGUGAGGGAAAGAUGAUAAAGAACUUUGAAAAGAGAGUUAAACAGUACGUGAAAUUGUCAAAAGGGAAGCGUUUGACACCAGUGUUGUUUUUCUGAAAAUCAAUUAAAGAACUGUUUAUGCUAAGCUGUUUAGACUUUAUCAGCUAUCUGUUUAGUUUUGAGCUUUUCUUUAAUGCACUUUUCAGUUAACAAGUCAACAUCAAUUUCUUUUGCUGUAAAAAAGCUUGAGGAAGGUGGCUUGAGAUUCGUCUUAAGUGUUUAUAGCCUCUUGCCUAUGCAGUCGGAGAGAUUGAGGUCCUGCAGCGUAGAUCCUUCGGGGCUAAAUGCAUUUGUGCUAAGUUAUAGCAUUUUAUAGACAACUUGUUGACUAUGAUUUGUCUUGUAGCUUACUCGCUUAUGUUAUUUUACCUACGCUUAGGAUGUUGAUCUGUAGUGCGUGCGC
rnacentral:rRNA from 1 species